rnacentral:lncRNA from 1 species
GUUUUUGUUUUUCCAUUUUCUAUGUCUGAGUGUUUUCUGUACAUGUGUCUGUAUAUCAGAUGUGUGCCCAGUGCCUGUGGAGGCCAGAGGAGGGUAGGGUGUCAGGUCCUCCAGAGCUAGAGUUCAGGGCAGGUGAGCUGCCAUGUUGAUUCUGAGAAAGGAACCUAGGUCCUUGGGAACUAUGGCCUCUGAGCCAUCUCUCCAGCCCCUUGUUUUAGUUUUUGAGCUAAGGGUCUUGCAGUGGGCCCUGGCUUGUCUCGGGCUUGCAGCAGCCCUCCUACCUCUGCCUCUAGGAUUGCAGGAGCGCUCCCAAACUCAUUUUCAUCAGCACUUACUAAGUUCAUUUUCAGGAGGGUGCAAUAAUGGAGCAAGCCCCUUGGCAUGGACCUCCCUUGGGAGAUUUGACUUCCUGUGUAGCCCAGGCUGUCCUAGAACUCACCAGAUAGCUGACCUCACUAUAUGGCUUUUUUGCCUUUAGCUCCUUAUCUCCCAAGUGCAAGGAUUUCACCUGUGCACCACCAAGCCUGGCUGAAACUGAUUUCUCUCCCCGCUGCUUCAAAAUACCAGUCUACUGCCUGAGUGAUCACGUGACUGGCUUCUUACACACCCACACCGUGCACCAUCCCCCGUCCUUUUGGGUGCAUAAGACAGGCAAGACCGAAGUUUGAGGUAGACGAGCAGGCGAGCCGUUUG